AAAUUGAAGAGUUUGAUCAUGGCUCAGAUUGAACGCUGGCGGCAGGCCUAACACAUGCAAGUCGAACGGUAACAGGAAGAAGCUUACUUCUUUGCUGACGAGUGGCGGACGGGUGAGUAAUGUCUGGGAAACUGCCUGAUGGAGGGGGAUAACUACUGGAAACGGUAGCUAAUACCGCAUAACGUCGCAAGACCAAAGAGGGGGACCUUCGGGCCUCUUGCCAUCGGAUGUGCCCAGAUGGGAUUAGCUAGUAGGUGGGGUAACGGCUCACCUAGGCGACGAUCCCUAGCUGGUCUGAGAGGAUGACCAGCCACACUGGAACUGAGACACGGUCCAGACUCCUACGGGAGGCAGCAGUGGGGAAUAUUG
rnacentral:rRNA from 1 species